rnacentral:rRNA from 1 species
AUUGAACGCUGGCGGCAGGCCUAACACAUGCAAGUCGAACGAGUGGCGCACGGGUGAGUAGUGUCUGGGACACUGCCCGAUGGAGGGGGAUAUCUACUGGAAACGGUAGCUAAUACCGUAUACCUUCGGCUGUGCCCAGAUGGGUUUAGCUAGGAGGUGGGGUAACGGCUCACCUAGGCCACGCUCCGUAGCUGGUCUGAGAGGAUGACCAGCCACACUGGAACGGAGACACGGUCCAGACGCCUACGGGAGGCAGCAGUGGGGAAUAUUGGACAAUGGGGGCAAGCCUGAUGCAGCCAUCCCGCGUGUAUGAAGAAGGCCUUCGGGUUGUAAAGUACUUUCAGCGAGGAGGCGUUACGCGCAGAAGAAGCACCGGCUAACUCCGUGCCAGCAGCCGCGGUAAUUC